GGGGACUAGGACUCGGAGCAAUGGGUUGAAAUGACAGGGAAGGAGAUUCCACUUGAACAUUAGGCAAAACCUCUCAUCGUAAGAAGAGCUGUUCAACAGUGGAACUCUCUGCCUUGGAGUCUAGUGGAAGCUCCAUCUUUGGAGGCUUUUAAGCAGACUGGAUGGCCACCUGUUGUGGUGCUUCUAUUGUGCUUUUCCUGCUUGGAAGAAGGGGCUUGGACUUGAUGGCCCAUGUGGUCUCUUCCAACUCUAUUAUUCUAUGAUUGACACCUCAGAAAGUCACCCAACUGAAUUGUGUCAGUUUCUGACCUCCCUCCCUUACAUUUUCUUCGCAGUAAGUCCCGAAAUAACCUUUUUCUCUUUAGAUUCAGAAGAAAAAUGGCUUCCCUGCAGUGCGGAAGCAAAACAUCUCAACAAUGGAGCUCCAGGAGGGGACUCUUUUGCGGCAAGAUCAUUUGCAGACAUCCAGGAUUUGUCCAGUAUCUCUGGCGAGAACAUGCACAGCCCAAAGGUUUAUAAAACUCCCAAGAGCACCCACUCACCAACUGAUGCCAGUACUCCGAUCAGCCCAGCCACGGCGCCGCCAAGGUUUUUCUCCACUGUCGUCAAAAGCAAGGAUCGCUGCGUGAUGAAGAUAGACACAACAUGUUGGCCUACCCAGGAAGGAUCAUUCUCAGGACUUAGUACCUUCACCACCGCCACUGAGAAAGGGAAGAGUGUGGAGCUGCCUUCUGCUGAUUUCCCAGAACUUGAUGACUCCUUGGUAGCCGACAUUCAGUCACUAGUUUGUAGGGGUCAGAAAAAAACAGAGAAUAAGCUUCCUUCCAUUCCACAGAGAGGAGUUCCUGAGCAAGGCGAUUCAAAAGAGCAAGAGCCAGAAGAAAUAACCCUGAACAAAUGCAAAGCUGAUUGCAGCCUCUGCAUCGACGAGACUUCAUGCCUCGAAGAAGAGACGGAAAGGUACAAAACAAGGUGCAGAAAUGGAGGAGGAAGAGGAGACUGCAAUUGAGCUAGACAGACCUUCCCUU
rnacentral:lncRNA from 11 species